GCCCUCCCAGAGUCGCACCUGGAGAGUUUCCAGUCCCCUACAAGUCACGACUACAGGAGGGAGAGUCAAGCAGAGGCCUGUCCAUUCCAUUCCUGGCUCGGCCAGCGGCUAGCGAGUGGAAGACAAUCUGCUACAAGU